GUUGCAGGUUUGUCUGAAGCCA
rnacentral:siRNA from 1 species